rnacentral:lncRNA from 1 species
AGCCAUAGAAAUCCAGAUGUGAAUUCCCUCAGUGUUUUGUUUGUUUUUAAGAGAAGAAACUUUGUUCCAUGCAUUGUAUUUCUCUUUGCAAGCUUCCUCAUUUGGUGUGUACUGAUCUACGUCAUCCUGGAACCCGGAAGGGGAUUCAUCGGGGAACCCGUAUGUCGCUUUGACUGCAUCCCAUGUGCUGAUGGACAGGAGUCUCGGGAACCAGGAGGAAACCACAGGAUGCAUCUGGACCUGCUCUCAGACUUGGAGACCGGAGUGACAUAGCCCUGAAGAAGCAGGCAGGCCAAAUGCAGGCUGUUCAUCCGGGGCAGUGGAGAAUCUAGACCCUCGAAGCCUCUUAGCUGAGUUCUUC